UACGAAGGGGGCGAGCGUUGUUCGGAAUUACUGGGCGUAAAGGGCGCGCAGGCGGCUCUGAAAGUCAGAUGUGAAAGCCCCGGGCUUAACCUGGGAACUGCAUUUGAUACUCUAGAGCUUGAGUACGGGAGAGGAGAGUGGAAUUCCCAGUGUAGAGGUGAAAUUCGUAGAUAUUGGGAAGAACACCGGUGGCGAAGGCGGCUCUCUGGACCGUAACUGACGCUGAGGCGCGAAAGCGUGGGGAGCAA
rnacentral:rRNA from 1 species